UGGGGAAUUUUGGACAAUGGGCGAAAGCCUGAUCCAGCAAUGCCGCGUGUGUGAAGAAGGCCUUCGGGUUGUAAAGCACUUUUGUCCGGAAAGAAAUCCUCUGGGUUAAUACCUCGGGGGGAUGACGGUACCGGAAGAAUAAGCACCGGCUAACUACGUGCCAGCAGCCGCGGUAAUACGUAGGGUGCAAGCGUUAAUCGGAAUUACUGGGCGUAAAGCGUGCGCAGGCGGUUUUGUAAGACGGAUGUGAAAUCCCCGGGCUUAACCUGGGAACUGCAUUCGUGACUGCAAGGCUAGAGUAUGGCAGAGGGGGGUAGAAUUCCACGUGUAGCAGUGAAAUGCGUAGAGAUGUGGAGGAAUACCGAUGGCGAAGGCAGCCCCCUGGGCCAAUACUGACGCUCAUGCACGAAAGUGUGGGGAGCAAACA
rnacentral:rRNA from 1 species